rnacentral:rRNA from 1 species
AUUGAACGCUGGCGGCAUGCUUUACACAUGCAAGUCGAACGGUAACAGGCCGCAAUGUGCUGACGAGUGGCGAACGGGUGAGUAAUGCAUCGGAACGUGCCCAGUCGUGGGGGAUAACUACUCGAAAGAGUAGCUAAUACCGCAUACGAUCUAUGGAUUAAAGCGGGGGACCGUAAGGCCGCGCGCGAUUGGAGCGGCCGAUGUCAGAUUAGGUAGUUGGUGGGGUAAAGGCUCACCAAGCCAACGAUCUGUAGCUGGUCUGGGAGGACAACCAGCCACACGGGGACUGGACCACGGCCAAGACUCCUACGGGAGGCACCAGUGGGGAACUUUGGACAAUGGGGGCAAGCCUGCUCCAGCAAUGCGGCGUGCAGGAAGAAGGCCUCCGGGUUGUAAACUGCUUUUGUACGGAACGAAACGGCUCUGGUUAAUACCCGGGGCUAAUGACGGUACCGUACGAAUAAGCACCGGCUAACUACGUG